rnacentral:rRNA from 1 species
GGAUUUACUGGGCGUAAAGCGUGCGUAGGCGGCCAAUUAAGUCAAAUGUGAAAUCCCCGGGCUUAACUUGGGAAUUGCAUUCGAUACUGGUUGGCUAGAGUAUGGGAGAGGAUGGUAGAAUUCCAGGUGUAGCGGUGAAAUGCGUAGAGAUCUGGAGGAAUACCGAUGGCGAAGGCAGCCAUCUGGCCUAAUACUGACGCUGAGGUACGAAAGCAUGGGGAGCAAACAGGAUUAGAUACCCUGGUAGUCCAUGCCGUAAACGAUGUCUACUAGCCGUUGGGGCCCUUGAGGCUUUAGUGGCGCAGCUAACGCGAUAAGUAGACCGCCUGGGGAGUACGGUCGCAAGACUAAAACUCAAAUGAAUUGACGGGGGCCCGCACAAGCGGUGGAGCAUGUGGUUUAAUUCGAUGCAACGCGAAGAACCUUACCUGGCCUUGACAUACAGAGAACUUUCCAGAGAUGGAUUGGUGCCUUCGGGAACUCUGAUACAGGUGCUGCAUGGCUGUCGUCAGCUCGUGUCGUGAGAUGUUGGGUUAAGUCCCGCAACGAGCGCAACCCUUUUCCUUAUUUGCCAGCACUUCGGGUGGGAACUUUAAGGAUACUGCCAGUGACAAACUGGAGGAAGGCGGGGACGACGUCAAGUCAUCAUGGCCCUUACGGCCAGGGCUACACACGUGCUACAAUGGUCGGUACAAAGGGUUGCUACACAGCGAUGUGAUGCUAAUCUCAAAAAGCCGAUCGUAGUCCGGAUUGGAGUCUGCAAC